rnacentral:lncRNA from 1 species
CAAGCUAAAUGUAGUGGGAUCUAGAGAGAUCUUCCCACACCUAUAAAUAGAGCUCUUGUGAGCCAUUUGUAACCAAUCUCAAACAAUCUCAAACAUCACUCUAUCUAAUAUUAUCUAAGUUCUUUGGAGACAAGAGCUCCACUCUAAAAUCAUUCUCUCUAUCUUCUACACACACUACACUCACAAUAUUCUCUACACCACUUCACUACAGUCACUCACCACACUCAAACCACUAUAUAAUCACCUCCAUUUUCUAACAAGUGGCAUCAGAGCUUGUUCGAUCAUAAGCGGGCGUUAUGGCGUCGUCAAGUCUCUCCAUCACGACUCCAAUAUUCAAUGGAGAAAACUAUGACUAUUGGAGUGUUCGUAUGAAGACUUGCCUUGAAUCCCAUGAUCUUUGGGAUGUCAUUGAAGAAGGAAUCACCAUGCCGGGAGAAGAUAUCGACAAGACAUCCUCAUCCGAGGUACGUAAGAAAUUAAAGCAACAAAAUGCUAAAGCUCUUUAUCUUCUCCAACAAUCUGUUAGUGAUUCUAUCAUGGCAAGAAUUAUUCGAGCCACUACUGCAAAAGAAGCUUGGGAUAUCCUUAAGGAGGAGUUCCAAGGAAAUGUUAAAGUUCGAACCAUUAAACUACAAAGUUUAAGGCGAGAACUAGAGAAUCUUAAAAUGAAAGAUUCAGAAGCCGCAAAAGAUUAUUUCUCAAGAAUAAUGGAAAUAAUCAAUCAAAUGCGGUCAUACGGAGAUAACGUCUCCGAUGAAAGGAUCAUACAGAAGGUCUUAAUCAGCCUUACCGAGAAGUAUGAUCCAGUAGUGGCGGCGAUUGAAGAAUCAAAAAGAUUUAUCAAAAAAUGUCUGUCGCGGAGCUGAUGGGUUCCUUGGAAGCACACGAGCAACGAUUGAGUAGGCGACAUGAAAGUUCACUAGAGAGUGCCUUUCAGUCCAAGCUCAACGUUAGAGGCAAUAAGUCAAGAAGCGCGGAAUUUAAACCAAUCACAAGAGAGCUACAGCAACAAGGAGAGCAAGGUAAAUUUUCCACCAUGCGGAAUUUGCAAGAAGACAAAUCACUUGGAGAAGGAUUGCUAUCAUCGAGGAAAGCCACAGUGCAAAAACUGCAAAAGGUUCGGGCAUGUGGAAAAAGAUUGCAGAGAUAGAAGAAAUCAUCAAGCCAACUAUUCAGAAAAUCAAAAAUGAGAAGGAGUACAUGUUCUAUGCAUGUCACUCGGCAACGGAAGCACGAGAAGAAGAAUGGUACAUCGAUAGCGGAUGCAGCAACCACAUGACAUCCAACGAGACCAUCUUCCGUGAGUUAGAUACUUCAGUCAAGACGAAGGUGAAGAUGGGCAAUGGAGAACUGGUGGAGACAAAAGGGAAAGGUACAAUUGCCAUAGAAACUAAUAAAGGUACGCGAUUUAUUAGAAAUGUUCUCCUAGUACCUCGUCUUGCACAAAGUCUAUUAAGUGUUGGCCAAAUGAUGGAAAAUGGAUAUGCCCUCCACUUUGAGAAAGAUUCUUGUCGAAUUUACGACAAGAAAAAUAACCAAGAUAUUGCAGUAGUAAAAAUGGAAAAAAAAUAGAAACUUUCCCAUUCAAUGGCAAUAUCCACAAAAGGCAAUGGUGGCUCAACUCGACGAUACGAGUCUAUGGCACCGGAGAUUUGGGCAUUUCAACCUAAAUGCCUUGAGGCUACUUCAUCAGAAAAAUAUGAUGAGAGAUAUGCCUCUUCUAAAUGAAAGAGAAGGUGUAUGCGAAGGAUGCAUGAUCGGAAAGCAACACAGACAACCAUUUCCAACGGAGAAAACAUGGCGAGCCAAGGAGAUACUAGAGCUUGUCCACACCGACGUUUGCGGUCCAAUGCGCACACCUUCAGUAAACCAAAACAGGUACUUCAUACUCUUUAUUGAUGACUACUCUAGAAUGACUUGGGUAUAUUUUCUCCAAGAAAAAUCAGAAGUCUUUAGAAUCUUCAAGAGAUUCAAGAACUUUGUGGAGAACCAAAGUGGUCGCAAAAUAAAGAAACUGAGAAGCGAUCGAGGUACCGAAUACAACUCAAAAGAGUUCGACAAGUUCUGUGAAGAUGAAGGUGUGGAGCAUCAACUAACCGUGGCCUACACUCCACAACAAAAUGGCGUGUCGGAAAGAAGAAUCGAACAGUCAUGGAGAUGGCGAGAUCCAUGCUGGCGGAGAAAGGAUUACCAAAGAAGUUUUGGGCAGAGGCAGUGUAUACAUCAGUCUACCUACUCAACCGAUGUCCAACAAAGGCCGUGCUAAACAAGACGCCGAUCGAAGCUUGGUCAGGACAAAAGCCUUCAGCCAAACAUUUGAGGGUCUUUGGAAGUAUCUGCUACAUCCACAUUCCCUCAGUAAAAAGACACAAACUGGAGGACAAGAAGGAGAAGGGAAUCUUCCUCGGCUACAGCUCUAAAUCCAAGGGUUAUAGAAUCUACAAUCUUCAGACCAAGAAGCUGGUGACAAGUCGAGACGUGGAAUUUGACGAACAAGCCUCCUGGAAUUGGGAGACAGAAAGUGUUGAAAGGCAGACAACAACUACACUCCUAAAAGAAGUCACAGAACAUGGAGAACAAGAUCAACAAAGCCCACCAAGGUCCUCUCCUCAAGUGGAUCCGACUCAGACUCCUCACCAGACUUUCCACCUUUUCGGGUAAGAACUCUANUUACGACAAGAAAAUAACCAAGAUAUUGCAGUAGUAAAAAUGGGAAAAAAUAGAAACUUUCCCAUUCAAUGGCAAUAUCCACAAAAGGCAAUGGUGGCUCAACUCGACGAUACGAGUCUAUGGCACCGGAGAUUUGGGCAUUUCAACCUAAAUGCCUUGAGGCUACUUCAUCAGAAAAAUAUGAUGAGAGACAUGCCUCUUCUAAAUGAAAGAGAAGGUGUAUGCGAAGGAUGCAUGAUCGGAAAGCAACACAGACAACCAUUUCCAACGGAGAAAACAUGGCGAGCCAAGGAGAUACUAGAGCUUGUCCACACCGACGUUUGCGGUCCAAUGCGCACACCUUCAGUAAACCAAAACAGGUACUUCAUACUCUUUAUUGAUGACUACUCUAGAAUGACUUGGGUAUAUUUUCUCCAAGAAAAAUCAGAAGUCUUUAGAAUCUUCAAGAGAUUCAAGAACUUUGUGGAGAACCAAAGUGGUCGCAAAAUAAAGAAACUGAGAAGCGAUCGAGGUACCGAAUACAACUCAAAAGAGUUCGACAAGUUCUGUGAAGAUGAAGGUGUGGAGCAUCAACUAACGGUGGCCUACACUCCACAACAAAACGGCGUGUCGGAAAGAAAGAAUCGAACAGUCAUGGAGAUGGCGAGAUCCAUGCUGGCAGAGAAAGGAUUGCCAAAGAAGUUCUGGGCGGAGGCAGUAUAUACAUCGGUCUACCUACUCAACCGAUGUCCAACAAAGGCCGUGCUAAACAAGACGCCGAUCGAAGCUUGGUCAGGGCAAAAGCCUUCAGCCAAACAUUUGAGGGUCUUUGGAAGUAUCUGCUACAUCCACAUUCCCUCAGUAAAAAGACACAAACUGGAGGACAAGACGGAGAAGGGAAUCUUCCUCGGCUACAGCUCUAAAUCCAAGGGUUAUAGAAUCUACAAUCUUGAGACCAAGAAGCUGGUGACAAGUCGAGACGUGGAAUUUGACGAACAAGCCUCCUGGAAUUGGGAGACAGAAAGUGUUGAAAGGCGGACAACAACUACACUCCUAAAAGAAGUCACAGAACAUGGAGAACAAGAUCAACAAAGCCUACCAAGGUCCUUUUCAGAAGCCAAUACCUCAAGUGGAUCCGACUCAGACUUCUCACCAGACUUUCCACCUUUUCGGGUAAGAACUCUAGCAGAUUUAUAUGAAUCCACUGAUAUAUAUGAGACAUGCAACUUUUGUUCUUUGGAGCCAAGUAACUAUGCAG